CACGUAGGGGACGAGCGUUGUCCGGAUUCAUUGGGCGUAAAGCGCACGUAGGCGGAUCGUUAAGUCGGGGGUGAAAUCCUGGAGCUCAACUCCAGAACUGCCUUCGAUACUGGCGAUCUUGAGUCCGGAAGAGGUGAGUGGAACUCCUAGUGUAGAGGUGGAAUUCGUAGAUAUUAGGAAGAACACCGGUGGCGAAGGCGGCCCACUGGCUCGACACUGACGCUGAGGUGCGAAAGCGUGGGGAGCAAACAGGAUUAGAUACC
rnacentral:rRNA from 1 species